UGAAAGUGAGGACAAUCUCAGUGACAACAGA
rnacentral:piRNA from 1 species